GAAACAGGGAUACGGAGGCGGUUAUGCCUCAUUCCUUUCGGCCACCCUUACGUCUACAGGAAGUUAACGGCCGGGACUGUCAUCAUUUAGGACAAAGGAGAAUGAUGUCACUGGUGUGGCAGUCAACUGCUUCCAAGGAGCCAGUCCAUCCUUCCUUGGAGUGGCUAAUUGACACAACUCUUUCCAAUGAGAUGGAAGUAAACAUUUGUUGAAGAGUUUUUGAAAACUUUGCUUUCAUCAUUAAAGAAGACAUAUAUCUUUCCUUUUGUGGACACAGGCAUGAUAGUUGGAGCUUCAGCAGCUAUCUUGUAAUCAUGAGAGAAAGGCCAAGGCUAGGGAAUUACAGACAUGUUGGUCCUACCAUGGUUGGGUAACUGAACCAACUCCAGCAACUACCCAAGAAACUUCCUGUUGUGAGAGAAUAAGCAAACUCAUAUUUAUUCUAACC
rnacentral:lncRNA from 1 species